UACGUAGGGGGCUAGCGUUGUUCGGAAUUACUGGGCGUAAAGGGCGCGUAGGCGGCCUUCUAAGUCGAACGUGAAAUCCCCGGGCUCAACCCGGGAACUGCGUCCGAUACUGGAAGGCUUGAAUCCGGGAGAGGGAUGCGGAAUUCCAGGUGUAGCGGUGAAAUGCGUAGAUAUCUGGAGGAACACCGGUGGCGGAGGCGGCAUCCUGGACCGGUAUUGACGCUGAGGCGCGAAAGCGUGGGGAGCAAACAGG
rnacentral:rRNA from 1 species